rnacentral:rRNA from 1 species
UGGAUCAGUGGCGAACGGGUGAGUAACACGUGAGCAACCUGCCCCCUACUUCGGGAUAAGCCUUGGAAACGGGGUCUAAUACCGGAUAUGAACACGUGCCGCAUGGUGGGUGUUGGAAAGUUUUUCGGUGGGGGAUGGGCUCGCGGCCUAUCAGCUUGUUGGUGGGGUAAUGGCCUACCAAGGCGUCGACGGGUAGCCGGCCUGAGAGGGCGACCGGCCACACUGGGACUGAGACACGGCCCAGACUCCUACGGGAGGCAGCAGUGGGGAAUAUUGCACAAUGGGCGAAAGCCUGAUGCAGCGACGCCACGUGAGGGAUGACGGCCUUCGGGUUGUAAACCUCUUUCAGCAGGGAAGAAGCGCAAGUGACGGUACCUGCAGAAGAAGCGCCGGCUAACUACGUGCCAGCAGCCGCGGUAAUACGUAGGGCGCAAGCGUUGUCCGGAAUUAUUGGGCGUAAAGAGCUCGUAGGCGGUCUGUCGCGUCUGGUGUGAAAUCCCAUGGCUCAACUGUGGGCUUGCAUCGGGUACGGGCAGACUAGAGUGCUGUAGGGGAGACUGGAAUUCCUGGUGUAGCGGUGGAAUGCGCAGAUAUCAGGAGGAACACCGAUGGCGAAGGCAGGUCUCUGGGCAGUUACUGACGCUGAG